rnacentral:rRNA from 1 species
UAAAAAAAGGUAAGCUACUAAGAGCGAAUGGUGGAUGCCUUGACUGGUAAAGGCGAUGAAGGACGUACUAGACUGCGAUAAGCUACGGGGAGCUGUCAAGAAGCUUUGAUCCGUAGAUUUCCGAAUGGGGCAACCCAAUGUAUAGAGAUAUACAUUACCUAUAUAGGAGCGAACGAGGGGAAUUGAAACAUCUUAGUACCCUCAGGAAAAGAAAUCAAUAGAGAUUGCGUCAGUAGCGGCGAGCGAAAGCGCAAGAGGGCAAACCCAGUGCUUGCACUGGGGGUUG